rnacentral:lncRNA from 10 species
AUCCCAGCUACUGGGGAGCCUCAGGCAGGAGAAUCACUGGAACCUGGGAGGCAGAGGUUGCAGUGAGCUGAGAUUGUGGCACUGCACCCAGUCUGGGCCACAGAGCGAGACUCCAUUUGAAAAAAAAAAAGACAUGCUUGAUACAGCCAUCUGCAGGGGUCUCAGACUCCCAGCCAGCAGGCCAUAGAUGCGUUUUGCUGUUUCAUGGGGUGUAAGUUUUAAAUCUUUUUGCAAAUGCCUGAAGCAGAGCAUGAUUGUAAUCUCUAGUUGGCUGCAGGCCCCACCAUUCCCUAUUGCCUUACAGCAGGCCACUCCCAUAUUUGUGUUAUCUGCUGGCUCCAUAUUUUGUACUCUGAUUUCUAGUUCCCAUGUGCAGAGAGCACAGCCUGGGUGGCCUUGUCUUCUGUGACUUUGCAGUCAUUCAUUAUACCUCCAAAUCCACUCUGCUUACCUGCUGGCUUUCUGAGAGUAAGUUGCACACCAUGUCUAACCGUGGUCCUCCACUGCCCCGCCUUCUCAAUUGCAGAACUCCCCUCUGAGGUGUGAGGGGAACCACAUCACACUUGUGGAACCCCUUUCCAAGUGCUUCUUUCCCAUCGCGUCAUCGCAAACCCUUAAAAAGUGGGGGGACAGCUAUUCCUCCUGUUUUAGAGAUGGGAACACCAAAAUGGAUGACGUGGCUCACAUGAGCACAUGCUUGUGAGUGGCAGAGUCUGGGACAGGAGCCAAACCUUCUGUCUCCUACCCAGCUCCCUUUUUGGUCCAUCCUCUGCCUGGACAGGGCCUUCGGGAAGUCCAGGGCUGGAGUGAACAUUGGCCUUUUGGGAAAGAUGCUCAUCCACUCACACAACAGAUAUUUAAUGUGCACCUAUUACAUCCAGGCCAAAUACUAGACACAGGAAUGUAGGGGGAUGAAAGAAUGAGGCAUUAACCCUGCCCUUGGAGAGCAAUUGGCUAGGAGAGGACAUGAAGUCUGCACCAACAACUGCCAUCAGAAAGAAAGUGACCAGCCCCUGGGAGAGGGACUGAUGGGACAUGCCUGGGUGGUUGGGCUCAUCUCUUCAGUUUACGAGCGGGGUUGUUUUGCCUUUCCCAUAAAUAUCAGGAUGUUAAGUUUCAUGUUGACACUGGCAGUGAAGUGAUUCUUUCAAACAAUGUGAGCAUGAGUGCUCUGUUCUUCAGGGAAUAAGCUUUUUAUUUCAGUUUUAAGUGAACUCCAGAUAGCAAAGUGACAGUCAGUUAGCUAAGUUCCCCUCAUGACUUGCUAAUGAGGACACGUGUCCUUUUGUGUGUGAUAGAGUUAAGGGCUGAUUAAUUGGUACCCAACUCUCAGGCCAUGGCUCUGAAUUUGGGAGGAUGCUUUGUUUACAAUCUUUGCAAACUACUCAUGACUCACAUUCUGUCAUUAUUUACUUUCAUUUUGGCUGCAGAUGUUCUAGAACUUGCAUUUAUUUAAGUGCUAAAUAGUCUUGUAACAUUAGCUUCCAGGGUUUUAAAAACUCUUUUCUUCACAAGGUUAGUUGCGUCCAAUGCAGUGAGUACUGUAAAAAGUCUGGUGCCCAGGCAGGGAGGGAAGAAACUUCACACACAGCUGGAGCCAGGGGUAGAAUCACUGUGUUGAAAUGGUCCCUAAACCUUGGGCAGAGCCCAGGGCUCCCCUUGGAUUGCCACAGACACUACAAGCUUUGCAAGUCCAAAAUUGACCAGGUCUCUGAGUGAGAAUCAGGGGCUUGAGCAACUUCGCACUUGCAAGGGAGGGUCUCAGGGUGAGGGUCUUGCACGGGUGCCCUGUGCUGCAUGCUUGUUUAGAGGAGCCCUUUUCCUGAUUCCCACAAGGCCACUGGGUAGGGGCAGCUGGAAGUGGCCUGAGAGUCUCCUCUGUCCUGCACUUCGACAUCUGAUCAUCAGAAAGUCCUCUAGAUUCUUCUCCAAAAUAUAGCUUCACCGUGUCCAUGCCUGCCAUCUCCAUGGCCACGGGCCCUGACCAGGUCACCUCAUCUCUUGCCCAGAGGCUCCUCCUCCUAGCUGGUCUGUCCUCCUCACGCCACACCCCUGCUCCUCAUCUUCAUCUAGUAUCCUUCUUUUUUUUUUUUUAAGAGACAUGGUCUCACUCUGUUGCCCAGGCUGGAGGGCAGUGGUGUGAUCAUAGCUCACUGCAGCCUCAAACCCCUGGGCUCCAGUGAUCCUCCCACCUCAGCCUCCUGAGUAGCUGGUGCUAUAGGCACACACCACCACACCUGGCUAAUUUGUUAUAUAUAUGUGUGUGUGUGUGUGUGUGUGUGUGUGU